UACGUAGGAGGCAAGCGUUGUCCGGAGUUACUGGGCGUAAAGCGCACGCAGGCGGUCUCUUAAGUUUGGAGUGACAGUUGGUGGCUUAACUGCCAAAGUGCUUCGAAAACUGAGAGACUUGAGGGCUUCAGAGGGACACGGAAUUCCGGGUGGAGUGGUGAAAUGCGUAGAGAUCCGGAGGAACACCAAAGGCGAAGGCAGUGUCCUGGGGAGUACCUGACGCUCAGGUGCGAAAGCCAGGGGAGCGAACGGG
rnacentral:rRNA from 1 species